CCGGCAUCGAGGCACAUGCGGACUUCGCCGAUGGAGGCGGCGUCGAAUGACGAGCCCAGUGCGACGAGGCGUUCGAGAAUCGCCUGUGCCGGA
rnacentral:tRNA from 1 species